AAAACUUGAUCUUCGAGAUGAUAAGCAAUUCUUCAUAGACCAUCCAGGUGCCGUGCCAAUUACUACUGCUCAGGGUGAAGAGCUGAGGAAAACAAUUGGUGCACCUUCCUACAUUGAAUGUAGUUCAAAAACACAGGAGAAUGUAAAAGGAGUAUUUGAUGCUGCCAUUAAAGUUGUGCUCCAGCCACCCAAGGCAAAGAAAAAGAAAGGGAAGUCCCAAAGGGCCUGCUCAAUUUUGUGAUCAACAGUUGGUCCGGGGUUAUUCCUGGUCACAGUUUUCACACGUUGUAAUCUGUCCCCUCAUAUCUGUUUCUGUUUUCCUUUUUGCGGAAGAAGUAAGAGGUCAUUGUAUGUCUCACUUGAAGCUGCUGGUGAUCUCUUGAAGUGUCAGGUGGCUCGAUCUCUUGUUGUAUUGCUGUGAUCUCUGAUUACUGAGUUUCACAACACGCUCCAGGCCACUCUAUUUUAUCCUCGCUGUUUUGAUUUGUUUUAUGUAUUACUGACUGAAAGAUCAAUUUAGGAAAACAAAUUUUCUCAGCAAUGUUGUUUAGCAUUUCUUACAUUUUUAUUUUGAUUUAAAAACUUUGGAAUGUUGAACACCCUUCCUAG
rnacentral:misc_RNA from 1 species